AACUAAAUCCAACUUUCCCAAUUUCAUUUCAUCUUCUUUGUUUAUUUGACAAAGAACAGAGCCAUCGAAAACCAACCUAAUUAUCCAUUUCUAAGCUCAAUUUUUUUAAUCAAAUCAUCAAAAAUAAUUAAAUUCGUCAAGGUUACUCAUCAAUCUUUAAGUGGGAAGCAAGAAUUCUUCAAUCGGUGAGAGUAGUCGACGGUGGGAUGGACUGCUACGGUGGAUUCUCCGAGCAAUUAACAGUUCGGCUAUUGAAUCGUGAAGAGCUUGAAGAUAUAUGUAAGGAUUCGACGAGUUCACGAAUCUCAGGGUCAGAAUUGCAGCGGCAGUAAGGGAGUAUUAUUUUGGAAUAGCGAACAGACUGUAAAUAGUAUUUUGGCGUGAUCAGACUUCCAUUCCUUCUUCCGGAAGUAAGUAUUUUGUAAUGUAAUGAAAACCGCUGUUUACUUGUAGAGCCGCAGUAGUUUAGUGGUAUGGUUUUGCUAUAUAAACUAUGAUUUUGAAACUACUACUGUUUGUAUAUUUUUUUAUGGUUACUAUGUAGUAGUCGUUUAACUAAAUGGUUUAUCGGGUAUCACUAAUACCGUGUUCUGUA